GACCGCCGGUGAUCCUUGUGACUGCUGAGCUUCCCUUUGUCAUCCUAUGCCUGGAAGUCAAAAUGGGGCAGGGACAGCAAAGGGAUGAUCAACCGUCACCUCCAACACCGAGAUGUGU
rnacentral:pre_miRNA from 13 species